rnacentral:rRNA from 1 species
UACGGAGGGAGCUAGCGUUGUUCGGAAUUAUUGGGCGUAAAGAGCUCGUAGGCGGUUUGUCGCGUCUGCCGUGAAAGUCCGGGGCUUAACCCCGGAUCUGCGGUGGGUACGGGCAGACUAGAGUGCAGUAGGGGAGACUGGAAUUCCUGGUGUAGCGGUGAAAUGCGCAGAUAUCAGGAGGAACACCGAUGGCGAAGGCAGGUCUCUGGGCUGUAACUGACGCUGAGGAGCGAAAGCAUGGGGAGCGAACAGG